UAGCGUCUUCUCGCAGGUCCCAGGGUUCUUAAGGCCCUUUUCUUCCCCAUUCAGGCCUGAUGAGGAGGGAAGCAGCCGCUCCAGCUACCUCUCUUGGCUCUCCUUAAAGCCAAGUCCACACGUCUAACCGCUGUUUCCAGCAGCACAGCCAGAGAGAAAACAAGAUGCAAAUAUGGGAAAAUAACACAGUUUUCCAUCUGGCCCAAUUCCAGGGUCCAACCAAAUCUAGUGAGCAAGGGGGCUGUGAGUUGGAUCGUUUGGGGGUCCCAGCAGAGAGCAGACGUUACCCUCCAUCAAACAGCCUGAGUAAAGAAGUCAUACACCGAAGAUGGAUGCCGAUUUUUGACAAGACAGCGUGAAGGUGAAUCAAACUUCUCACUUCUCGGCCUUCCCUGGUGGCGCAGUGGUUAAGAAUCCGCCUGCCAAUGCAGGGGACACGGGUUCAAGCCCUGGUCUGGGAAGAUCCC